rnacentral:rRNA from 1 species
AGAGUUUGAUCCUGGCUCAGGAUGAACGCUGGCGGCGUGCCUAAUACAUGCAAGUCGAGCGGUAAGGCCCUUCGGGGUACACGAGCGGCGGACGGCUGAGUAACGCGUGGGAACAUGCCCCAAAGUGAGGGAUAACGCACCGAAAGGUGUGCUAAUACCGCAUAUGGUCUUCGGAUUAAAGGAUUUAUCCGCUUUGGGAGUGGCCCGCGUACGAUUAGAUUGUUGGUGAGGUAACGGCUCACCAAGUCGACGAUCGUUAACUGGUCUGAGAGGAUGAUCAGUCACACUGGAACUGAGACACGGUCCAGACUCCUACGGGAGGCAGCAGUAAGGAAUCUUCCACAAUGGGGGCAACCCUGAUGGAGCAACGCCGCGUGCAGGAUGAAGGCUUUCGGGUCGUAAACUGCUUUUAUGAGUGAAGAAUAUGACGGUAACUCAUGAAUAAGGAUCGGCUAACUACGUGCCAGCAGCCGCGGUCAUACGUAGGAUCCAAGCGUUAUCCGGAGUGACUGGGCGUAAAGAGUUGCGUAGGUGGUCCGUAAAGCGAAUAGUGAAAUCUGGUGGCUCAACCAUCAAUCCAUUAUUCGAACUCACGGACUCGAGAACAGCAGAGGUAACUGGAAUUUCUGAAGUAGGGGUAAUAUCCGUAGAUAUCAGAAGGAACACCAAUGGCGUAGGCAGGUUACUGGGCUGUUUCUGACACUGAGGCACGAAAGCGUGGGGAGCGAACCGGAUUAGAUACCCGGGUAGUCCACGCCGUAAACGAUGGAUACUAGCUGUAGGAGGUAUCGACCCCUUCAGUAGCGAAGCUAACGCGUUAAGUAUCCCGCCUGUGGAGUACGGUCGCAAGACUAAAACAUAAAGGAAUUGACGGGGAC